rnacentral:rRNA from 1 species
UCGGGAAUUUUGGACAAUGGGCGAAAGCCUGAUCCAGCCAUGCCGCGUGAGUGAAGAAGGCCUUCGGGUUGUAAAGCUCUUUUAGUCGGAAAGAAAGAGUUGCAAUGAAUAAUUGUGAUUUAUGACGGUACCGACAGAAAAAGCACCGGCUAACUACGUGCCAGCAGCCGCGGUAAUACGUAGGGUGCGAGCGUUAAUCGGAAUUACUGGGCGUAAAGGGUGCGCAGGCGGUCUUGCAAGUCAGAUGUGAAAGCCCCGGGCUUAACCUGGGAAUUGCGUUUGAAACUACAAGACUAGAGUGCAGCAGAGGGGAGUGGAAUUCCAUGUGUAGCAGUGAAAUGCGUAGAGAUGUGGAAGAACACCGAUGGCGAAGGCAGCUCCCUGGGUCUGCACUGACGCUCAUGCACGAAAGCGUGGGGAGCAAACA